UUAACUGAAAAUGCACUUCUUUUGCCUGACCUCACAGACCUUCACCCUCUUGAUUUCACCGUAAACUUUUACUAUUUUAUCCUUCAUCUUUCAUAUUUUCACCUUCUUUGACUUUACCCACAUCCUCUUUACUACCAACUAUCAACCCUCCUUUUGACAAUUUCUCUUUCUGGAUCUACAACGUGAAACUUCAAACGUGAAACUCCGGUGAAGCCAACGCAAGCGUCCUCUUCAACAUUGUCAACAGAAAGCCCAGACACAGACUGCACUCUAGCCCCUUAAGUCCAAGUGGCAGCUUGUUUUAAAAAAAAUAAAUACAUGCAUUACA